CGGGGUGCAGCAGGCGCGAAAACUUUGCAAUACACGAAAGUGUGACAGGGUUAUCCCGAGUGCCGACCGCUGAGGUUGGCUUUUACCCAGUCUAGAAAGCUGGGGGAAUAAGGAGAGGGCAAGUCUGGUGUCAGCCGCCGCGGUAAUACCAGCUCUCCGAGUGGUGUGGACGUUUAUUGGGCCUAAAGCAUCCGUAGCUGGCUGGACAAGUCCCCUGUUAAACCCACCGAUUUAAUCGUUGGCGUGCGGGGGAUACUGCUCGGCUAGGGGACGAGAGAGGCAGACGGUAUUCCCGGGGUAGGGGUGAAAUCCUAUAAUCCCGAGAAGACCACCAGUGGCGAAGGCUGUCUGCUAGGACGCGCCCGACGGUGAGGGAUGAAAGCUGGGGGAGCGAACCGGAUUAGAUACCCGGGUAGUCCCAGCUGUAAACGAUGCAGACUAGGUGUUUGGACGGCCACGUGCCGUUCUAGUGCCGCAGGGAAGCUGUUAAGUCUGCCGCCUGGGGAGUACGAUCGCAAGAUUGAAACUUAAAGGAAUUGGCGGGGGAGCACAAGGGCGAAUGCG
rnacentral:rRNA from 1 species